AAUGAACGUUGGCGGCGUGGAUUAGGCAUGCAAGUCGAGGGAGAACCCCGCAAGGGGGGACACCGGCGAACGGGGUAGGAUCACCUCGGUGACGUACCCUCAGGACGGGGAUAGCGGCGGGAAACUGCCGGUAAUACCCGAUGACCUGGCAGGACUUUAAGGCCUGUCAGCAAAGGUGAGAUUCCGCCUGAGGACCGGCUGAGGCGCUAUUAGCUAGUUGGUGAGGUCACGGCUCACCAAGGCGACGAUGGCUAGGGGGUGUGAGAGCAUGGCCCCCACCACUGGCACUGAGACACUGGCCAGACACCUACGGGUGGCUGCAGUCGAGAAUCUUCGGCAAUGGGCGCAAGCCUGACCGAGCGACGCCGCGUGCGGGAUGAAGGUCUUCGGAUUGUAAACCGCUGUCGGGAGGGAUGAAGUGCGCGGGGGUU
rnacentral:rRNA from 1 species